GCCAAACCCCAUUCUCUUCCAAUGGUGAGACAUGGAAUCAUUCAGCGUUGGUGUUGUGUUAGAGAUAUGGGAUGACUCAAGGCUUCAAACAGAUCCUUCCCCUUCUCUUUUCCUCCCCCUUUCCUCUUCCUUCAUCAUCUUCAUCUCCUUUUUUGCUAUGCUCUUCUUUUAUGCAGACUGUUUAAGAGAAGAAAGCAGACGAUGGAAUCUCUCCGAGUGAUGACAGACGGGGCUACUGGGUGACAAGUGGUGAAGCAUCCAGGAGCCAGCAGCUGCCAGUGGUCCCCUUUACCCAUGAGGUCAGCAUCUCGAACACAUAUCCUUCUCUUCACAUAACAGACUUGCACCUGUCUUUCAGUUGGGAAUGACAAAGAAAAUAUUUUUCUGCUCUCUUCUACUCUGUUUUCUGGUGAUUUCCUCUUUGAUCCUGCCCCAGAGAACAGAUGUUCUGCAUCCACUAAGGUUGGUUUUACAUUGUUUUGGCUUUCAAGGAGUGUUUUUAACAUUCCUGCUGAUGAUUUAGCAUAAAUUGUUCUUGUAAUUAGCGUGGUUAAUGAACUCCCCACCUAUCUUUUAGUAGGUAAUUACAAAGCUGGUGUAUAUUAGCAGGUACUGUAUAAAGAUGAGAGGAAGGCUGGUGA
rnacentral:lncRNA from 1 species